UGAGUAACCUGCCCAUCGCUCUGGGAUAAACUCCGGGAAACCGGGGCUAAUACUGGAUAUGACUCGAACAGGCAUCUGUUUCGGGUGGAAAGAUUUAUUGGUGGAGGAUGGACUCGCGGCCUAUCAGCUUGUUGGUGAGGUAAUGGCUCACCAAGGCGACGGCGGGUAGCCAGCCUGAGGAGGGCGAUCCGGCCACACGUGGGACUGAGACCACCGGCCCAGACCUCCUACGGAAGCA
rnacentral:rRNA from 1 species